GAUGAACGCUGGCGGCGUGCUUAACACAUGCAAGUCGAGCGAGAUAAAUGUGAGUGGAGACUUCGGUCAAAGCGAUCAUUUUGAAAGCGGCGGACGGGUGAGUAACGCGUGAGCAAUCUGCCCCAUACAAAGGGAUACCCACUGGAAACGGUGAUUAAUACCUUAUAAGACCACGAAGUCGCCUGGCUUAGUGGCCAAAGAUUUAUCGGUAUGGGAUGAGCUCGCGUCUGAUUAGCUAGUUGGUGAGGUAAUGGCUCACCAAGGCGACGAUCAGUAGCCGAACUGGGAGGGUGAACGGCCACACUGGAACUGAGACACGGUCCAGACUCCUACGGGAGGCAGCAGUGGGGAAUAUUGCACAAUGGGCGCAAGCCUGAUGCAGCAACGCCGCGUGAAUGAUGAAGGCCUUCGGGUCGUAAAGUUCUGUCCUAAGGGAAGAAUACAGUGACGGUACCUUAGGAGGAAGCCCCGGCUAACUACGUGCCAGCCGCCGCGGUAA
rnacentral:rRNA from 1 species